rnacentral:rRNA from 1 species
UGACGACCAUAGCAAGGUGGCCCCACUCCUUCCCAUCCCGAACAGGACAGUGAAACGCCUUCGCGCCGAUGAUAGUUGGUUUACGCCUGUGAAAGUAGGUCAUCGUCAGGCU